GCCAGAGUUGCAGGAUCCUCCCAAUGAGAAUCUCAACAUGGACACUAGUGCUGCACAGGAUGGUGUACUAGAUGAGAAUUCGGUGGACCUGCAACAACUGGAAAAUGAGAAUCCUGACGAAGGCUUGGAUGCUACAAAGGAUGAUGUACCUGAUCAGGACUCGAU